GGGGCUGUGGCUUAGGGGCAGAGUAUCUGAUUGGGGUGCAGAAGAUCCCAGAUUCAAUCCCUGGCAUCUCCA
rnacentral:tRNA from 1 species